rnacentral:rRNA from 1 species
AUUGAACGCUGGCGGCAUGCUUUACACAUGCAAGUCGAACGGCAGCGGGGUAGUGCUUGCACUACUGCCGGCGAGUGGCGAACGGGUGAGUAAUAUAUCGGAACGUACCGAGUAAUGGGGGAUAACCAAUCGAAAGAUUGGCUAAUACCGCAUACGUCCUGAGGGAGAAAGCGGGGGAUCGCAAGACCUCGCGUUAUUCGAGCGGCCGAUAACUGAUUAGCUAGUUGGUGGGGUAAAGGCCUACCAAGGCGACGAUCAGUAGCGGGUCUGAGAGGACGAUCCGCCACACUGGGACUGAGACACGGCCCAGACUCCUACGGGAGGCAGCAGUGGGGAAUUUUGGACAAUGGGGGCAACCCUGAUCCAGCCAUGCCGCGUGUAUGAAGAAGGCCUUCGGGUUGUAAAGUACUUUUGUUAGGGAAGAAAAGGGAAGUGCUAAUACCACUUUUUGCUGACGGGACCUAAAGAAUAAGCACCGGCUAACUACGU